rnacentral:RNase_P_RNA from 1 species
GGAGUCGGCCAGACAGCCGCUGCGCAGUGCUGCAUCGCGUGGAGGAAAGUCCGGGCUCCGCAGAGCAGGAUGCCGGCUAACGGCCGGGCGCCGCGAGGUGACGAACAGGGCCACAGAGACGAGUCCGCAGCCUCGGCAGUUCGGGGCGGCGGGGUGAAACGCGGCAACCUCCAUCCGGAGCAACACCAAAUAGGCAAGCGCGGUGCGCAAGCACCAUAGGCCGGCUCGGCCAAGCUUGCGGGUAGGUGGCUAGAGCCCGGGAGCAAUCCCUGGCCCAGAGGAAUGGCUGUCCCGGCAUCUCACCCUCACGGGCGCGGUGUCGACAGAACCCGGCUUACCGGCCGGCUCCCGCU